rnacentral:rRNA from 1 species
CGGACGGGUGAGUAACGCGUGGGAAUCUGCCCUUUGGUGGGGGAUAGCCCGGGGAAACUCGGAUUAAUACCGCAUAAGCCCUUUUGGGGAAAGACGGCCUCCGUUGCAAGCUGUCGCCGAAGGAUGAGCCCGCGUCAGAUUAGUUAGUUGGUGGGGUAAAGGCCUACCAAGGCUGCGAUCUGUAGCUGGUCUGAGAGGAUGAUCAGCCACAUCGGGACUGAGACACGGCCCGAACUCCUACGGGAGGCAGCAGUGGGGAAUCUUGGACAAUGGGGGCAACCCUGAUCCAGCCAUGCCGCGUGUGUGAAGAAGGCCUUCGGGUUGUAAAGCACUUUCAGCGAGGAGGAAAAGGCAGGUGUUAAUACCACUCUGUUUUGACGGUACUCGCAGAAGAAGCACCGGCUAAUUUCGUGCCAGCAGCCGCGGUAAUACGAAAGGUGCAAGCGUUAAUCGGAAUUACUGGGCGUAAAGGGCGCGUAGGCGGCGCGUUCAGUCGGCUGUGAAAGCCCCGGGCUCAACCCGGGAAUUGCAUCCGAUACUGGCGUGCUAGAGUGCAGUAGAGGGAGGUAGAAUUCCAGGUGUAGCGGUGAAAUGCGUAGAGAUCUGGAGGAAUACCAGUGGCGAAGGCGGCCUCCUGGACUGACACUGACGCUGAGGCGCGAAAGCGUGGG